rnacentral:rRNA from 1 species
AGGGAUCAUUACAGAGUUCAUGCCCUCCGGGUAGAUCUCCCACCCACUGCUAUCACUACUCUCGUUGCUUUGGCGGGCCGUUGGGCCCUGCCCGGCCGCCGGCCCCGGCUGGCGCGUGCCCGCCAGAGACCUCACAGACUCUGAAUGUUAGUGUCGUCCGAGUAACUAUAUAAUCGUUAAAACUUUCAACAACGGAUCUCUUGGUUCUGGCAUCGAUGAAGAACGCAGCGAAAUGCGAUAAGUAAUGCGAAUUGCAGAAUUCAGUGAGUCAUCGAAUCUUUGAACGCACAUUGCGCCCUGUGGUAUUCCGCAGGGCAUGCCUGUUCGAGCGUCAUUUCAACCCUCAAGCCUCGCUAGGUGUUGGGCCCUGCCCGCCGCGGCCGGCCCUAAAGAUAGUGGCGGCGCCGCCUGGCCCUCAGCGUAGUACAGCUCUCGCUCCAGGGUCCGGCGGCAGCCUGCCAGAACCCCCCAACUCUGUGGUUGACCUCGGAUCAGGUAGGGAUACCCGCUGAACUUAA